UACGUAGGGUGCAAGCGUUAUCCGGAAUUAUUGGGCGUAAAGAGCUCGUAGGCGGUUUGUCACGUCUGGAGUGAAAACACGGGGCUUAACCCCGUGCCUGCUUCCGAUACGGGCAGACUAGAGGUAUGCAGGGGAGAACGGAAUUCCUGGUGUAGCGGUGAAAUGCGCAGAUAUCAGGAGGAACACCGGUGGCGAAGGCGGUUCUCUGGGCAUUACCUGACGCUGAGGAGCGAAAGUGUGGGGAGCGAACAGG
rnacentral:rRNA from 1 species